AACGAACGCUGGCGGCAUGCCUAACACAUGCAAGUCGAACGAGACCUUCGGGUCUAGUGGCGCACGGGUGCGUAACGCGUGGGAAUCUGCCCUUGGGUUCGGAAUAACAGUUAGAAAUGACUGCUAAUACCGGAUAAUGUCUUCGGACCAAAGAUUUAUCGCCCAGGAUGAGCCCGCGUAGGAUUAGCUAGUUGGUGAGGUAAAGGCUCACCAAGGCGACGAUCCUUAGCUGGUCUGAGAGGAUGAUCAGCCACACUGGGACUGAGACACGGCCCAGACUCCUACGGGAGGCAGCAGUGGGGAAUAUUGGACAAUGGGCGAAAGCCUGAUCCAGCAAUGCCGCGUGAGUGAUGAAGGCCUUAGGGUUGUAAAGCUCUUUUACCCGGGAUGAUAAUGACAGUACCGGGAGAAUAAGCCCCGGCUAACUCCGUGCCAGCAGCCGCGGUAAU
rnacentral:rRNA from 1 species